CUUUUUGUCAUUUCUACCAACCAUUUUGGUAAGAAAGUGUCUUUUUUAUUCAACAUAAAUAUGUGUUCAGCGUGGAUUAGUUUACUUCCAACAUUAAGAACAAACAACCAUAGGCCAACAAACAAGUUAUAUUAUCCACAAAUAUUAGCAUAGCCAUGAAGUCCAACCAUGUCGUGUUCCUAGUCUUCUCUCUUCUCCUUGUUGCCAAGUUGUGCUUUGCUACAAAACCGGAUGAAUAUUGGAAGAAUAUGAUGAAGGGCCAAACUAUGCCAGAAGCAAUUAAGGGCCUUAUUCAGGAUCCACUAUAUGUUGUAGGGAAGGACCGUUUUAUCAGAGACUUCGAUAUAAAGCCUAAUGUUAUAUUAUAUCACACACAUGUUAUGUCCGUUAAGCAUAACCACAUGUCUUAAUUAUGUCAAGAAGAUCAAAAUACAUAUCUAUAUACAAGUAUGAACAGUAGAGAUCAUGAUUUUAAGUUAUAGGCUAUAGCAGCAUAUUGUGUUGAGAUAGUAGUGAUUAGAAUUCUAAGGCUUAUUUUGCAGGAAACUAGCUAUUGAUAUUUCAGAUCUAUUUGUGUUAAGCACA